rnacentral:rRNA from 1 species
ACAUCGUAGAGGGUGAAAAUCCCGUACUUGCCAUGGAUGUACCGUGCAUUGCGAUACACGUUCAAAGAGUCGUGUUGUUUGGGAGUACAGCACAAAGUGGGUGGUAGACUCCAUCUAAGGCUAAAUACCGGGGAGAGACCGAUAGCGAACAAGUACCGUGAGGGAAAGAUGAAAAGCACUUUGGAAAGAGAGUUAAAAGUACGUGAAAUUGUCGAAAGGGAAGCGCUUGAAGUCAGCCAA